AGGCUCAGGACGAACGCUGGCGGCGUGCUUAACAUUAUGCAAGUCGAACGGAAAGGCCCUGCUUUUGUGGGGUGCUCGAGUGGCGAACGGGUGAGUAACACGUGAGUAACCUGCCCUUGACUUUGGGAUAACUUCAGGAAACUGGGGCUAAUACCGGAUAGGAGCUCCUGCUGCAUGGUGGGGGUUGGAAAGUUUCGGCGGUUGGGGAUGGACUCGCGGCUUAUCAGCUUGUUGGUGGGGUAGUGGCUUACCAAGGCUUUGACGGGUAGCCGGCCUGAGAGGGUGACCGGCCACAUUGGGACUGAGAUACGGCCCAGACUCCUACGGGAGGCAGCAGUGGGGAAUAUUGCACAAUGGGCGGAAGCCUGAUGCAGCAACGCCGCGUGCGGGAUGACGGCCUUCGGGUUGUAAACCGCUUUCGCCUGUGACGAAGCGUGAGUGACGGUAAUGGGUAAAGAAGCACCGGCUAACUACGUGCCAGCAGCCGCGGUGAUACGUAGGGUGCGAGCGUUGUCCGGAUUUAUUGGGCGUAAAGGGCUCGUAGGUGGUUGAUCGCGUCGGAAGUGUAAUCUUGGGGCUUAACCCUGAGCGUGC
rnacentral:rRNA from 1 species